rnacentral:rRNA from 1 species
CGGGUGAGUAACACGUAUCCAACCUGCCGUCUACUCUUGGACAGCCUUCUGAAAGGAAGAUUAAUACAAGAUGGCAUCAUGAGUCCGCAUGUUCACAUGAUUAAAGGUAUUCCGGUAGACGAUGGGGAUGCGUUCCAUUAGAUAGCAGGCGGGGUAACGGCCCACCUAGUCUUCGAUGGAUAGGGGUUCUGAGAGGAAGGUCCCCCACAUUGGAACUGAGACACGGUCCAA